CGCGGAGUUGGACUUUCUGCCGAUUGUUGACCUCCUUUCACAUAAGGAGGGCUCAUAACCCGGAGGCCCCAGGUUCAAAUCCUGGCUCCGCAACCA
rnacentral:tRNA from 1 species